UAGAUAAAGAACUUUGUGAUUUAGAACCUAAGUUUACGGACAAUUACCGGUAUAAACUAUUCGGUUGGUUUAUCAUUAUUUUUCUAAUCUGUUUAGAUGAUAUAGCAGUCGAAAAUCAAAUUCAUCAGUCACGAGAUGAUAUUGCUGACGAUGGAGCUAAUCAACAAAGUCACUCAGGAGUUGGCGAACUAGAUAAUCGCAUAGAAACGUCUGGCGGACGUGUGUAUCAAGGCCGUGUAGACACGCAGGGCAGCAACGCACUGAAUUAUGCUGAAAUUUGUUUUCCUCCUGGAUCAUCCCAGUCUAAAUGUGUCGUGCACGGAAAAGAAAAUAUGACCAUAUAUUCAGAUGUUAUCCUUCCAAUGGCAGGUACAACUGUACAUUCAGACCAAUAGUAGAGACAACGAUAUAAAAAAAAAGAUAUAUUUCAUAUAUAUUAAAGUCAACAGUUGAGUGGACACUGUCAGUUGAAGGCUGUUUUUUGUUUUAGUUCAGACGGAAUCAAAAAGUUGGAUUGCAUAUUGUUAACUGGAAUCGUGAUGCUUUUAGCAAGUUAUUUCAUACGAUAGUUAUAUGUAUCUACAUUUUUGUAAAUCAUUUGAUAUCUAUUUUCUCAAUAUUGUUUGGGAAGAACUGCUAUUAGUUUUUAAAUAUUUUUGUAUUUUUAUUUUGUAAAUAUUAAAAUCAUUUUAUUUUAA